GCUAUACAUGCAGUCGAGCGAACUGAUUAGAAGCUUGCUUCUAUGACGUUAGCGGCGGACGGGUGAGUAACACGUGGGCAACCUGCCUGUAAGACUGGGAUAACUUCGGGAAACCGAAGCUAAUACCGGAUAGGAUCUUCUCCUUCAUGGGAGAUGAUUGAAAGAUGGUUUCGGCUAUCACUUACAGAUGGGCCCGCGGUGCAUUAGCUAGUUGGUGAGGUAACGGCUCACCAAGGCAACGAUGCAUAGCCGACCUGAGAGGGUGAUCGGCCACACUGGGACUGAGACACGGCCCAGACUCCUACGGGAGGCAGCAGUAGGGAAUCUUCCGCAAUGGACGAAAGUCUGACGGAGCAACGCCGCGUGAGUGAUGAAGGCUUUCGGGUCGUAAAACUCUGUUGUUAGGGAAGAACAAGUACGAGAGUAACUGCUCGUACCUUGACGGUACCUAACCAGAAAGCCACGGCUAACUACGUGCCAGCAGCCGCGGUAAUACGUAGGUGGCAAGCGUUAUCCGGAAUUAUUGGGCGUAAAGCGCGCGCAGGCGGUUUCUUAAGUCUGAUGUGAAAGCCCACGGCUCAACCGUGGAGGGUCAUUGGAAACUGGGGAACUUGAGUGCAGAAGAGAAAAGCGGAAUUCCACGUGUAGCGGU
rnacentral:rRNA from 2 species